UCAGAUGAGUUACUGAGAUUUUGCUGUAAAAUUGUUCCCUUCCAAAUGCUUCCUGGAAAGAUUUCUAGAAGGUUCCAAGCUCAGGCUGCAUGCACUCCUGAGGAGACAGGCUGCCUCCUUCUACGCCAUGGUCUCAUCUGAUGUUUCAUAGUAAACUCUGAGUUCUUGCUCUUUCUCAAAGCUAUCUUUGGUUGGUUCUGUAGCGAAACCACCCAGCAAAUACUCCACACCUUUGCAGAGUUCUUUGAUUCCUCAAAUGCCUCCCCUCGAUCCUGGCUGCCUUCCCUUUGAUCUCCACAUUUUUAGCUACCAAGCUCUCUCAACUGCUUGUCAUUUAUCUCCGUUUUUUUCUGUCCUCACCCUCUUGGAACAUAGGCAGGCAUUUGAGAAGUCUAGAUGAGAAAACCAAGAAUGCUUCCUCUGUCACCCUAGUAGACGGCCACACGCCACUCUCUGGGGACCACUGAGUGCCAUAUUUCUUUCCAGGUGAUCUGUCCCUUCUGUGUGAUAUCCAGAGAUGCUUGUCUUCAGCACUGUCCCUUCCUACCUUCUUACAACCACAGUAAAUCCUGUUGAUUCUGUCUUGUGACCUCUCCAGCACCUCCUGCCCUCCUUGGCCUGGCUCCUCGAUAGUACUGAGGAAUUCCAACUGCUGUCUUGCAGUCCCCAUUGUCCUCUGUUCUGGGAUUCUCAUUUCAUUGCAAAUAGGGCAGAGUCCUUGUCAGCAGCCACCAGGUGCCUAAGACUCUCAAAUCUUCUCUGCAUGCAGCUCUUUGCAAGCCUCACCUGGCCUCUCACCAGGGCACUUGAGAUGAAAAGACCUCCCUCUGUGGACAUCCAGGGCCAUGGCGGUGGAGAUGGGUUUGCUUCUGCUAUCUAUCUUCCAUAGGAAUGUUUGCUUUAUAAAAGGAAGCCCCCUUUUCCUCUAGUAUCUUUCUUCUCUCUGCAGUUUGAGAAAUACAAGCCCAUAAAAUGAAAUCCAACCCCAUGUUGUAACAUUUUUGUCUUCUCCAAUAUACCCAGAAAGUGUUUCUUUAGACUGUAGCCAUUGUGUUCCCAGGAGCCUUAGUGCAUCUGACCUCAGGUGGACUUAAGCCCUGGCCUUAUUCUUCCUGUAAAGUUCUUUUCUCAUCUUACUUGCUAACUAUUUUCCACCAUUAAAAAAAAAAAAUCCUGCCCCUGGUCUCAGGUAACUUAUUAGUGAGCAUCCUCUUCCUGGAUUCUGGUAAACUCCUUGUGAGUGGACUGCUUGUCAUUUCAACUGGGCUCUUCUGUCUUUGUUUAUCAGUUUACACAGUUUGUUUACCCAAUUUAUUUGCUGCUAAAGACAGCUUGAAGUUCAUCUUUCAAAUCAUGGAACUAUUUUAAUUAGCGAGGGAAACUUUUCUUAUUUCCCCUUGUAUGAUGAAUUAUUCACACGAACAAGAAAUAGCAUCCAUAUGUAACAAAUUAGAACAUGUUAUUUUCAUAUUAAAUGUCCCUAAGAGGAUAAACAAUAAAUUAUUUAAACACCAAUGGAAAAACCAAAACUAACUCCUUCUGAAUACUCACAGGGUAGACUUUAGGUUUUCAGGAAAAAGUGAUUUUUUUUCCUUGUUGUUAUUUAAAAAGAAAUUGCUACAUACAAUGAAAAGUGAGACUCAUGCUAUCAUUAACUGAACUUUUGUUUUAUAUUCCUGCAUUUUAAAAACUUGUAAUUUUAAUGAGUAAGGCAGUUGACAACUCAGGGUCCAAGGCUCAUUACCUUGAUAGCUCUCCUCCUGGCAGGUGAAUAGUUCCUCAGAAUUUAAUGCACUAACGUUUUGUUCAAAGUGCUUAGGACCAGUGCCCUUAACAUGUAGUGAGCCUUCUGCAAACGCUCGAUUCUCUUAUUCAAAAACAAGUGUCCUUCUCUUUUCAGAAUUCCUUUUCCCCAUUCAUCAUAUCUUGCCUUGAAUUAUUCUUAUUUUUAAAUGUAUUUUCUAGCUAAGCAUCCUUUAAGAUUACAGAGAACUUUGUACAUUGUCAGGGAUUAAUAAAUUAUUUAUCUACUGAAUAAAUAAUGAACGUGUAAACAUUCUCUUAAAAUUUAAAGAGCUUUGAUUAUUUGAAGUUCUGAGGUCCUGAGACCAAACACGAGCACAGCACAGACAAGUUAAUGCCUGGAAUAACUCAGAAAAGCCACCGGAGACAGGAGUCCUCGGGGACCAAGCAGAAGUCACAUUUGCCUGUCUGUAGCUUCCUUACAGAGGCUGUUCUGCUAAAUGAACAGGAUAUAUUACAGGCUCGGAGACCUCCAAGGCACUGUAAAACCCCUCGGAUGCCCCAGUUCAACUCAAUUUGAUGGAGUUUCCCAUUUGCUUAAGAUUAGUUUACUCAGUUUAUUUAUGGCUCACAGGGGUAGGAAGAGCAACAGGCAGGAGCGGAGGUGCUGCAGGCUCAUGGCUGUUUCUGUUUCCUGGCUGUAGGCGUGGGGCAUAAGGGCAGCAUAGAAGAAAACCUUUGCAAGGUGUGUGUGUGUGUGUGUGUGUGUGUGUGUGUGUGUGUGUGUGUGUGUGUGGUGUUUGUCAUACAUAGACAGGUGCCUAGAGAGGCCAGAAUAGGCUACUGGAUCCUCUGGAGGCAUCUUAAAUGGGUAUUGGGAACCCAUUUAGGUUCCUUGAAGAGCAGCAAGUAUUCUUAACUACUGAGCAAGCCCUGCCUCCAGCCCUGUCUGUUGAUUUGUAUGUUUUUGCGGAAUGCUGAAUUUGAAGCUUUAUCUCUCAACAGUGAGGAGAAAACUGCCUCUCUCCACCUGAGCCCGCUGCUGGUCCUUGGCAGCAGGCUCCUCAUCACCCACAUGACUGGCAGCAAGCCCCUCAUCUCCCACAUGGACGUGGGAAUGACAAUCUGGCAGACUUGUCCUCCAUCCUCUUGUCUACCCCUGAAUUUUUGCAAUGCCUUAAAUCUAGAAGGCAUAUAUAAGUACUUGGACAGAUAGAUGCCAGUGUGGAGGACACAGUAUCCAGGUAGAAGAGAUACUGUCACUUUGCAGAGGUGUCUCAGUGCUGAGUCUCUUCUGGGUCCACCAAGGCUGUGUUUUGCCUCCAGGUUAAGUCAUUUGCUUUUAUGAAUGAGCACAUUGGAUUAUUGUUAUCCAAUAAUUGUUAUUGGAUCCAGAGGAUCCAGUAGCCUAUUCUGGCCUCUCUAGGCACCUGCCUAUGUAUGACAAACACCACACACACACACACACACACACACACACACACACACACAUACAUACACACACACACACCUUGCAAAGGUUUUCUUCUAUGAUGCCCUUAUGCCCCACGACUACAGCCAGGAAACAGAAACACAGUGUUGCGUCCUUCACUAUUAAGCUAAAGCAGUCUUCUAAGGCAGGAGUCUGUUCAUCUCAUUUGCUCCCACAAUGAUCAAGAAUGUCAUGUAUUUCAGAAUUGCCAGGUUCACCGCUGAGCAGUAUAUGGGGACGAGAUAGAAAUAUGAUGGGAUGAUUUCUGCAGGUGCCUACUUGUAAGGACAUGAAGUUGGCUCAUGGGGCCAUCAGUGAAGAAACAGGCUUAGGAUGAGGAGAACAGUCUACAUAGUUUGAUGAAGUCUGAAAGACUACAGAGAACAAGCUGCAUUUUGAAUGAGGCCUUGAAUGAGAUAAUAGAUUUUAAAGAUGGUUUUCAUUGAAGACCAAGCGUGGAGACAUUGCCAUGAGAGAGUGACAGCAUGGAGUUGAUGGCAGCUGGUGGUGAAGACGGUUGUUUUUUGAGAUGAAUGUUUAAUUAGUUGCACAUGUAUAUUUACUUAAGUAAAAAAUGUGUAUUUUGUCAAAUCUAAUUUUUUCAUCUUUUUUCCUUUAUCUCCUCUUGAUAUCAGACAUACUUCAGAGUAAUUUUUUUGUUGAUUCAGGGUUUGUAUGUGUAUGUGUUGUUGUUGUUGUUGCACGUUUGUUUUUUUAUGCACCAAGAAUCCUUCUGAUUGAGUUUAGAAAAGGAUGUUAUAGUUGCAUGUUGAAUUGUCUUCGAUAUGUGGUUGGAUGCAUCCCUGGGAAAAAAGUGGAAGUAUAUGGGGUCAUGUACAACCUGCCUAUUAUUCAUGUCAGGGGCUACUCAACCUUUAAUAGACACCUGCUUGUGUUCCAGGCUCUGUGGAGUAUCUUUAAAUUAUGCUUUUAUGCUUUAUGUAUAUUUUAUAUUCUUUUCAUUUCCUCCCUAUUGAAAUUGUUUUGGAGGAUAGGAAAAUGUAUAAUAGGUUCUUAAUAACCAUCAAAAUAUAUGCAUACUGAAUAUUUAAGAAGGUAAUUCAGGCAUCCAUGAGCGGGAUGGAAUUAUUGAAAGUGACUUUACAGUUUGGGGCUACAUUACAAACAUUAAACUCUGUGUGGCACAAAACCUUACUCAGAAUGCAUUUUGCUAUUUUUGGUGUUUUCCUGGCACCUUGAAGAGUAGCAGAUAAUUUCACAGAUGGGUCAGACUGGUGUUAAGCAUUCUAACCUAGUAUUUGAUAGGCUUUGCUGUCGUGUGGACUUGAGCAUUGAUUUAAGUGAGGGAGAAAUGCUUAGAUUUUCCCAGGAAAACAGAAAUUCUCUGUGUUGUUGUCAGUGCUAAGUAUUUUGUCUAAGACCUAAGCUUUCAAAUGGCUGGUGGCUCAGCGAAAACCCAUUUAAUCUAACAAACAGAAAAAAAAAAAAAAGCCAAAGAUGAGUAAAAGAUUUACAAUAAACACAGUCCCUGCAUCCUACCUCAUCCUGCAUCCUACCUCAAGCAUCCAAUUCUCCAUGUGUCACCAGGAGACAAAACAGAGUGAUCUACUAGAAAGAAUUAAGAAUAAAUACCAAUGAAGAGCAUUGCAUCGUAAAGGGGGAUUGGUUCUUUUUAUAAAUAUUGCUCACAGUUUUGUUUAUUAAUUUAGUACAAGUGUAUAAUGUGCUUUGAGCUAUUUGUGCUCCUCUUCUUCCUUUCAACCUAUGCUACAGGCCCCAGCCACUUCUCCUUCCUAAUCAGAGACUCACUUUUUAUUUAACCCAUGGAGUCUGCUUAGCUGCCAGUCUGUACAGGGGUGCAGGGCCAUCCCUGGAGUGGUCACCACACCCCAGACACUUAGACUUUUGGAGAUAAGAGGCUUUAGCUACAAAGAGAACUGACUCCUCACUCAGUAGGAGUGAGACUUUGUGAGCCCCUUUGCCCCCGAGUCAUGCUGCAGUUUUGUUUGGCUUGAUUUUGUGCACAGUUUGCGCACGAAGCCAUAGGCACUGUGUGGUCUUAUGUGACACGACCCUGUCAUGUCCAGAAAACAGUGUUACGUGGUAGUCCACCACACGUUCUGCCUUUCCAAUCUUUCUCCCUCUGCUUCUUCCAUGAUCUAUGAGUCUUGACAAGUAGGAUGUGCUGAGGAUAUAAUAUUUAGGGCUGAGUACUCCACAGUCUAAGACUCUGGGAAGCCUGAAGCCGAAGGCGCAGCUGUUGAGCGUGAGUCCUGCUUAAUGCUCUGUCUUAGGGCUCAGGCCUUGAGGAAAGAUGGGAUAGGACACUCUAAUGGCGGCACGUUUGUUCCCUCGACUGAGGCUGUUGAGUAGACUAUCCAGAGGCAAAAGCAUGAAUUGCUAUUUAAAUGACGAUGGCAGUUUAAGUGCGUUUGUUAAUUUAGUAUUGUUGCAUUGAUCCUUAUGUUAAUUUAGAUUUAUUAAGAGAAUCAGGAAGAAUUAUGAUACGCUUUAUUAUCUGACUGUUCAAACCUGUCAGUCAUUAAUUUUUCACUCUUGAUUUCUUGAUUUGGAAAGAAUCUGUAGAGUCGAAAAUGAGGAGUAUUUCUAAGUCUCUUAGAAAAUCGUUUUCUGAUAUAAGAUGUAUUCUUAGUGUAAUCAAAUAUUAAAUCCCACAAUUGAUAAUAUAUUUACAAAUUUUUUUUUUGAGAGUGGAUGCUUAAAUGCAUUUGUUUCCUUGAAGCUGUGGUGUUUUUGCACGUUAUGCUUUCUAGUUUCUGGGUGAUCAUAUUAGAAACCUUAUUUCCAGCACUCAGUGUUUGCCCUCAUUGGGUUGACAUAGAUGGUUCCAUGUGUUUCCCUUCUUACAUGUGUUGAGCAGCUACCAUCCUGGAGAGUGUAGCAUACGUGGUUCUUGCUGUAUGGCCAUUGCUUGUCUGCCAAGGAGCAAAUAGCCAGAUUUUACCUUUGCUUUUAUUUCUAUUUAGAACAUAUGUCUCCUUAGAAUGCAGCUAAAUCUCUUCAAAAAAAAAAAAAGUAGAACUAAUUGUGAGAACUUCUUGACUUCUUCCAUCGAGUACCUCACUAGGUGUCCAGGGCAUAGUGGGGGAGGUUCUUGUGCCUAUAGAUCUCCAGAGGAACCAGGACUAUUAAGCAGCCAGGAUUGUCUUUCCAGUGGGAAAGAUGAAAGAUGUAUUCUUCUAUCCAGAAGCUGAGAAUUGGAGGCGAUUAACAGCUGGUGAUCUGUUACCUAUUAGGCUAUAUCAAACGCCUACAACCAGGACUAGAGGUAAUCUAAAGAAUUCUUAGAGCCAGAGACUCCCCAAAGCUCCCACAACCAGGACCAGAGGUGGCUAAUAGCCUAAAUGACCUCUACGUUAUCUGUGUGACUGACACCAGGCUAGACCUUUAGUACCUUAAGCUAGCAUAGGUAGCAAGCAUAUCUCUAGCACCCAUUUCUUGGAAGAAAUGGCAAUACCUAAGUUGAGAUUCAAUGCACUUACACUUCUUUAUGCAAUGGAGAUUGUACCACAGCAGAAAACUUUUUUUUCCCACAUUUAUGCUGGACUUAAAUACAUUGAGAAUAAACCUGCUAUCAGACUGUUAUGAGACUCCCUGAAGUCUGAUCCAGGUUGACAAAGUCAAUGUGUACCCAGUUUUUAUUCUUUUCCUUUCGUGUGGUUCGCUCUCCUUUAUGACACCUGCAGGAACACCUUCAACUAGGAAUUUUUUUUAAAUUUUUUGUAUGUAUGCGAUGCAUUUAUUUGGGAUAAUAAAUCUGGGGAUAGUGGCGCUAGAGAGGAGCUGUAGUGAUGGGAAAAUGGGACUGUGGGAAAGUGGAUGGAGGUGACAGAUACUGAUGAAAGAAGGGAAUGACACUUACGAUGGGUUGUGAUUGUCUUAGAGGGUCAGUACAAGCAUUGUAUAUACUUGUAAGACUGAUGAGUAGUAUUCGGUAUGGUGUCCUGUGCCAAUACAGCUUGGCUGGUUGAAAGAAAAUCAGACGUCACUGCAGGACCUUCCGGUGUCUACUCGAAGAAAUCAACUGACUAAAAUAUUUACACCAUUCCCAAUUAUCUGAUGAUGACAUAAUUUGAAAUGAAUAAUUAUGUGCGAAGAGACUUGUAGUGAUUGCAUUGUCUGGCAGCUCUGGGACACUGUAGGCCAACGAUGCUGCUGUUAGCAUUCAUUCAGGAUGGUGGCAUCUAGAAGCAAUCCCAAGCUCUGAAGCACUAGGAUCCUCAGCAGAAGUGGGUUUAUGUAACAAUGACAGCAUACAGUGAUCCCACACACACACACACCCAUGUAUUCUAACAAUCAUGAUUGGAUUUGAAGUCUAAUAUAAUUGAUAGUCAUUGGACUGAAUUUCCUUUAUAUGUAUAAGCAAAAUGUACAUUUAUUUUGUUUCCCUAUGAUAUACCAAUGCCGUUAGAAAAGAAAGGAAGAGAGGAAAAAAAGCUAAGGCUUAGUAAAUGACAAAGUAUGACAUAUAACUGUAUAUAAUCACUGUCAUAGGGACACAGAACUUGCUUUUCCCUCAUUAAAAAGCACACAUCCUCUUGAUGUUAGUAAUAAAACGGGUGCUUUAAUUGUACCCUAUAAACCUAAGAUAUGGGCAGUUAUAGAAAGCUGUGCUCCAUCCCUGGUAGAGACAUUCACUUGCUAAAUCCUUUUCAGGAUUGGAUAUGAUACCAAGAACACGGGGAUUAAUAAAAGGGAAGUCUUAAACAGAAGAAUUUAAUUCACCAGCAUUAAUUUCUCAUGAUCAGAGGACAGUGAGGUAAAGAGAAGCGAAGAAUUGAUUGCGUGCUUUCCAUUAGCCUGACACUACACUGUAUUCUCAUAGUCCUGAAAAUGCCUGUCUGGUUUACAGAGGCGGCUUGGGAGGGCCGAUCAAUGGCCUAAGACAGACCCAAGUCUGUCUUAUGUACCGAGAGGGCUGAGGCACCUGUCACUGUCCUGAGUCCCGUGGCAUCCAAGUGGGAUGUUACCCCAAGUGUGUCUGUAAAAGAAAAGUAAGUGAAUAUUUGUGUCAGAGAUUGUUUUAUCAUUCAGCAUGACUUUAAAUUAUAUCAAGUUUCAAGAAGUUUUUAGAGAAGACUCACUUUCUUAUCCUCACCCGCACCCCCUCCCAAAAGUUACCCCUCCAGCUCUGUGCCAGGAGGAGGGGAGGAUACAUUGGCCCUCUUCCUGGGAACCAAUUGUUCUCUCUCAGAGGCUGGAUUUUCUCUUAAAAGUUGGACAGACUUCUCUCUAAUUCUCCCAUCCUCCUUACAAUUUCCUCCCCUAAUCCUAAGCCCCGUGGAGGUUUGAUUACAUUCCUCGGUGGCAUUAUUCCGUCAACAGCUGGGUGAGACAGAAGUUAGAAAACAGACCGUCCUGUCGGAGGUCAGGAAACUCAGCAGCCAGAAGAACCAAUUUGUCAACUUACAUCAUCAUCGGGGAAGCGGGGAAAACAUUUCAGAAUGUGGGAAGCAAAGAGUGCCUCGGGCCUCUGAGUUUCUCCGUUUGCCAUUUCCAGGUUACACCUCCUCUAUCGUAGCUCACUGCACGUGGGGUAGAAGGCGUGCUGAAUGCUGGUGUUCUUGGUGAGAGCCGUAGUGAUGUGGCACACAUUUGUUUCUGGCUUUAAUGUUUAUCAUGAAUACUGUGAGUAGCUUUAUCCCCCUGACUUAGGGACCUAUUCCACACCAGCUGUGCAUGUGAGACUUUACUCUUAGCCUCCUAACCCUUACUUCAUUACUUAAAAAACAAUAUGCUCAACUCUGUCAUAUUUAUCUUUUCAUCAUGGGGUAUACUUGUCAUAUGUAGGGUAAAAGUUUUGGAGGGUGAACUCUAUUGGCUGUUUUUAUAGAAGUAUUCCUGGAGGGUUUGCUGCAGAUAUGCUACAUGGAAUGCUAUAAGGUUUAAAAUAUAGGCCAGUUCUCCUGAAAGAUGUAUUCUCAUUGUCUUUAUCCCAGCAAAUAAAUAAGAUUCUUUUGUGAGAUAGGGGUGUGCACAGCCGAACACAUAGAGUCCUCCUGGGCCUUUCAAUUAGACUUUGCUUUUCCCUAGAGUAAGACUUUAUAAAAUCAAACUUCUUAUGCUGACAUGACACAAAUCCAUUACUGGAAAUGUUUUUUCUUACUAAAGAUUAAAGCUACAUUUAUUUAUUUUUGCACAAGUCCAUGUUCUUCUGCUUAUUUUCGUGGACUGUGAAGUCCAAAUUGGUAGUUAUUUAAAUAGCAAGGCCAGUAAGAAAUUUAUAGCAAUCUAGGCUCUUUAAAAGCCAUACAAAGAAAAGUUAACUCUCCCUCCCAGAAUAUUCCUUUUCCUUUCUUUUGCCCAUUGUGUUUGCACAUAUCAGCAAAGUUAAUGGAUAGUUUAUUAAUUUCCAAACAUUAUAUAAUCCAAGCAGUAUCAGUAAACUCAAGUAGUAAAAGUGAAAACCAUUUUCAAUAACUACAAAACAUGUACUUAAACCUAUUUUGGAUUUGGGGUGAUUUCUAACAAAAUUGUUUGUUUAUUAGUUACUAUAUAUUAUAAUGAGAAUAUUCUUUUCUUAAAUGGUACAUAUGAGGUGAUAUGCCCGUAUGGAAUUUCUUACACUGUUGGCGGGUUAUUCUUAGUAAAGGUGUUUUAAGAAUAAUUUUUUAAAAAAACACUGGAGAGAUUUAAAAACAAAUACUAUAUAAUGUAUUUCCAAUUCCUAAAUUGAAUGCCCCACAAAGACGAGUGUAAUUCCCAGCGUUUGUUGCUAUUUGGAGUUGGUUGAAACUUCAGGAGGCAAGAAAAGAGUAAGUGAAGUCACUUGGGACAAGACCUUUGAUAGCACACAGGGAGGCGGGCUUUUUGUCUCUCUGUGUCUCUUUGUUCCCAGUGCCCUGAGGUGAGCAGUGUUCUGUAGCAGUAUCUAAUCAAAUACUCAAAUUGAUCCCAGUAGAGGUGGCGUAUUCCUUGCUACCCACCCCAAUGUUCUGGGUUUCCAAAUGAAAGACUCAUACAUACAUGCAGUCUUUAUAUUUUGAUAUGCCGUAAACAGCUCAAUGGCUGAGCCACUUCCUAAACCUCCACGUGGAUAAUCCACCUCCCUCAGAUAUUAUCAAGUUAUUACUAAAUAUCUAUAUUUCAUCUUUGCUGCUAGUCGGGCUGCCCUUUUGGGGCCGCUCUCUGGGCUCCUGCAUGGCGUCUCUGCUCUCUGUCCCGCACCUUCUCAGGCACAGUUUCUCCUCUCCACAUUUUCCCGGCCUCCUUCUUCUGCCAUUUCUUUCCUUGCCCAGGAAUCCUAAAAGUCCUGCCUCUGUCUGCCCUGCCCAGUCAUUGGCUGCCAGCAACUUGAUUUACCAAUCAGAACCAACUGGGGGCAAGGUCCCUCAGUGUCCUGUAGCAGGAGGUGCGGAUUCUCUUGGGGGCCCAAAAUAACAUAAUACAAGUAGCAUUAGACUAAAUCCACAACAGCGUACCUCCACAUCCCCACAGGCAUAAGGACAGUAGCCCAGGGACUGCUCUGAAAGAAGCCUCUGGGACCCUGAGGACAAUCAUUCUUUCCUUUAAAAUUACCUCAAACAUUUGGUGAGAGUCGUGCAGUUUUCAAACUGGGAGUGCCUCAUAGCACACCGGAUCAACGCUUUAAACGAGUUAGCUUGCUGGACUCCAUAGCAGACCUUUAUCAGUGUAGCUGGAUUGUAUCUAGAACGAUCCAUUGUAUAUGUUCUUAGCUCUAUUCUGAUAUAAAGGUUAGCGUUGAUUGUCAACCUGACAGAAUCUAGAAUCACUUGGAGACAAGCUUGUGGGCAUUCCUGUGGGGGUUAUCUUGAUAGCAUUAAUUGAGAUGGGGUGGGGGUGGGGGUCUGCCCACUGCCAGUCCUGCCAUCUCCUGCCAGGAAUCUAAGCAGGGAAACCGGCUGAGUACCAGCCUGCAUUCCUCAUCUCUGCUUCCUGAUUGCAGACGCUCACAGCUCUCAUCACCUUGGCUUUGAAGCCAUGAGGGGCUGUAUCCUUAGGUUGCCUUUGUCAGUAUUUUAUCCCAGCCAUAGGAAACAUAGCUAAGACACCGGAGUUUGUUCCUAAGAUGUUUGGGUCUGGGACGGCACUUGUUCCAUAGAGAAUAGGUCUUCUUUGGCAAGCACCGGAAUCUAUGCUGCUUUAAAGAAGAGAAAAAGGCAAUAGAGAAAUUGAGUCCGUGGGGGAAACAUUAAAAAAGACUUAGAAGAAACUUGGAUCUCAGUCUCAAGGGGAGCAGGACUGGGGGCAGUGGGGAGGGUACAGAACUUCCACAAUAACCUGAGGAAAGUCCAUGCUAUUCAUGAGAUUUAGAAAAUGCCUGAGAGUUCACAGUAAAUACUCUCAUUUUGUCUUAACUUUGACUUUGAAACACCCUUCCCAUGAACUGAGUACCUAUUCUCUAUUUUCCUCUCAAACUUCAAUAAGAAACUCUUGCUUUCAUGAUCAUCUUUCAAUAUUCAGCAUAAGAUCUCACCACAGACCUCAUUUCGGUUAACCUAUACAUAAAACAUCCAUUAAGGGUACUAACAAUUGUUAACUUCCUUAUUCUAAAGCACUUAAAUAGACCAUAAAUUUAGUUUUGUCAUAAUCCUUACAUGUAUGAAUAGGUAGGUUUUGCAAUCAGUUGGCAGAAAUAUUUUGUUGUUGUUUUAUUGCAACCCCAAAAUUUAAUUAAACAUUAAAUGCUUAAUUGGAAUGAAAGCAAGCUUCUAAUUUAAUCAUAUAAAAACUAAUUUAAAAUAACCCUCCUUGUUUUCCAGGAUGUGUUUGGUUCAAGAUUAGGUGUGGUUUUGUGCCUCUGAUUUAAUCCUGUUUGCCUUGACUUCUGUAAGCAUUUCAACAAUUCUAGGAAAAUCUUUAGUCCUGAGGAAUGGAAUUGAUUCAUGACCCACGUAUUUUAUCAAAGCAAGAACAUGGUUUCUCUAUUGUUUUGGUCAUUUCUGUUAAGUGAGAUUUUGUCCAGUGAUACUGGAUUUGCACAGUGUACCUGCACUGUGUCCAGCAGGUUGUGUCAAUAUGGAGUUUAGGUUGCUGUUUUUAAAGGUUUAUUUUAUUUUUGAUAGUGUGUGUGUGUGUGUGAGAGAGAGAGAGAGAGAGAGAGAGAGAGAGAGAGAGAGACAGACAGAGACAAACAGACAGACAGAUAGACAGAGAGAGUUUAGUACAUGUGAGUGUAGGUGACUGUGGAGACCAGCAAAGGGCAUUCAAGCCCCUAGAUCAAUGGUUCUGAACCUGUGGGCUGUGACCCCUUUGGCAAACCAGAUCUCCAAAAGUAUUUGCUUUGCAACCCAUAACAGUAGCAAAAUUACACUUAUGAAGUAGCAACAGAAAUAAUAUUAUGGUUGGGGUCAACACAACAUGAGAAACUGUCUUAAAGGGUGGAAGUGUUGGCAAGGGUGAGAACCACUGAGCUAGAUGUAAAGUUAUAUAGGCUGUGAGCCGCCCACAGUGGAUGCUGGGAACUAAAUAGAGGUUCUUCCCCAACAUCAGUAACUUCUGAGCCAACUCUCCCCUGCCACAUUGCAAAAUGGAGCAUUAAGUUUCCAUUCUUGGCUUGUGACAGAAGUCCCAGCGGCCAAUUAACUGAGUAGGCUGUAAACCAUUAACUAGUUAGGCUGUAACCAGUUGACUGGUUGGCUGAUGAUGCAUCAGCUGGUCUUCUGUCUAAGGCUCUCUGAUCACUUUGCAGGUGGGUGUUCUCAACUUCUUCUGGUUCCGGUUGUCUGAUCCAUGAAUCAUGUCUGUUUUGAGUGCUUUGCUCAGACAUCCGUAACCGGUUUAGUAGGUUUAAGGAGUUUUCCUUUCCUUAACACCUUCUAAUCAUUAAAACACAAGAGCCAUUCCGAGGAGGAGUGUAGAAAUUGUAGUAUCAGGAUGCUGAGAUGCAGCUUGGGUCUCAGAAACCAUGGAAGGCACAAAUACCAGCACAAACCAUGUUGUCCCAGAGGUAAUAAAUGUGUGAGUGGUGUCCGCGCCACUGAGCAAUGCCGCUCAUUUUCCCUGUCAGGCCAGUCAUAACUCAAUGUCCACUGCAGUCCCAGCCCCAGCCCAGGAGGCUGCUCUCUUAAUGCUUGCGGAAAUUGCAAAAAACAGCCUACCUAGUGCGCAGCAUUGCAGAGCAGACUGUUCCACUCCUGGACGCCUCCGUGGUGGGCAGCACCCCCAUAGGAAUUUGCCUGAACCUUAAUAUUAGAGCCCAUUCCUUAGUGUCUGGAAAGGAAGCAACGGGUGUGUUGUCCUACAGAGCCUUGGUCUCUCCCAACACAGGGCCAUUGAUAUUUUAUUAGGUGGUAUUAUCAUCAUCAUAAUUAUUACUACUGCUAUUGUCAUUAAAGACAGAGUCUCACUGUAUAGGGCUGGCUGGCCUGGAACUCUCUGUUGUAGACCAGGCUAGCCUUGAACUCUUACAGGUCUCCUUGCAUCUGUCUCCAGAGUACAAGAGUCAACCUCACCCCAGUUCUUCAUUAUUUAAGAUUUUAAGAAACAGUCUCAUUGCACUGCCUAAGCUUAUCAGUGUUAAUAGUCUUUAUCAAUUUAUAAUGAUAAUUUCAACUAUACUAGACACAAAGGGCCAGAGUGUACAAUCUUAAGACAGGGCAGUCUCCUUCAGGCAAGCUUUGUGGAGCGAUCCUUUUGCUGGGAUUAUUUUUGGAGGGCCUGGAAAUAGGGAAUGGGGUGCACUACAAGAUGUCAGGUCUCUUCAGUAGCCAUGCUUAAGGUGACCACCCUGGCAUGAGCAAUUGACAUGUUCCUGGGCCCUGCCUGUGUUAAUAAGCAAUGUUCCCACUGCUUUCCCUGCAGGGUUUACAGUCUAGUGAGGAGGGGCUUUAGCCCACCUUUCCCAGGCUCUGUGACACAUAUCAUCUGAGAUGUGUGAGGACGUGAUGCCCUUCCGAAAGGAAAACAAAUCAAAGCAGGAAAAGAAACCCAGUGUGCGAAAGCCAGUGAUGGAAGGGGGUGUGGCUUUCCAGGGAGAAGGGAGAAGUGAGUGGAGCUGGGAGAGGCCAAGGAAGAUGGGUAAGAUGGUGCCUCACAAGGGGCCCACUCCUCCUGCCUGAUGAAGCUCCAUGCAGGAGGUCUAUCUCGCCACCCUUCACCAGGGAUGUUGAUGGCCAGAGAGGUCUCUAGUCUUUUCUCUCUGUAGAUCUCCUAUGUAAGUUAGUGGAACAUUUAAGCUUGAAGGCCUGUGAUUGUAUAGUUGUAUGCGUGCUAAGGAGAAAGAUGGAAUUGGCCCCUUCUUGUUUAACUCCCACAUAUCAUCAUCAUCAUUAUCGCCACCAUCACCAUCAUCAUUCCUCCUCCUCCUCUAUCUCUUCAUCUCCCUAUUCCUCCUCUCCCUCUUUUUCCUCCUCAUGAAAAUGGCAUCAUGGUUUAGGUGGCACCUGUUAGAGUGGCCUUAGGCAUCCUUUGCCAGACUAGGACACAGCCGAGUGAGUGAGUCAUCUAGCUGGCCAGUCAGGCUAGUAGGUUGGUGUCCUCCUGUGUGUGAGCUUUGAUAGCUAUGGCUGAUGCUACUGUCUUCCAGCGUCUCUAAGGAUUCAUUCACAGGCUGCCAAAGCCAUGUCAGUAAACUCCAGCAUGGAUGAGAAUAUCACUGGGAAGCAACUUUACCAAGUCAAUCAAUUAGGACUAGUCAUCUACUGUAUCGAAAUAAAGGGUGACACUCUGUUAAUGAUAAUGUAUUGGAUUUGUUUACCAGUUACAACACACAGAGUGCACCCAUGUCGGAUAUUAAUAGGGGAAGCGGUAUGUAUGCAGAUCCACAUUCAUUUACUUUGUCUAUAAACGUAAACCUGCCUAGGAAGACAUGCCAAUUAGCUAUAGAGAAUGGGGAGAAAAAUUACUGGUUCUUGGGGAACUAAAUAAAGUGGGGGAUAUUGGUCUUUUUUGUCAUACUUUCUUUUUUUUUAUUUUAUUUAUUUAAAAACAAAACAACAAAAAGCCAAGAGAGUCCAGUAAAAUGGUAGAUUUGAGGCAACAGAGGCAUUUGUGUAAGAUAUUUGUUCUUUUCCUUACCUCAUCACACACGCUCCCAUAAAGUAACCACAUUAAUUCUCAUGAGGCUCUUCUUUCCCUCACCUUUCCAGACUUUUGGGUCCUUCCAACUAGUUAAGGCAGGAUGUGUGUAAGAGGCAAGAGAUGCCUCUGUCCUCCUUCAGAAUCUUCCUUUGUCUUAUGAGCCCUGCUCUUUUCUGAACACGGUGAAUCUUUUUUAGCUAGGGCUGGACUCUUGACUGUGCAAACAGUGGAGAGAAGGCAGUGUGUCAACUGCUCCUUUAAGGAUGCUUCCCAGGAGCGCUUAGCCAGGAUCGAAUGUUGGUAGAGUCGCAGUGUUUGAAGGCCAGCAGGCCCCGUGCCUGCCUAUUUCUGGAUCUGCCAACUGACUGCAGCCAGAUGCCAGUGAAAAGCUCCCGGACUGACAUCCAUUGCUGGAUGGGUCUAACUCACAAAGGGGAGAUUGCAAGACAGACAGAGAAGAGAACAGAAGUCACAUCAGCUCUCACAGGUAGGUCUGGGUUCCUUCCAGCUUCUACCAUGACUGAGCCCAAAAAGAGAGAAGUUUAUGAUGUCUUGUCCGAGAGACACUGGAUCAACCUCAUGCAUGGGUCAUAGUUCUGUUUUAAGGGAUAGGUUCAAAGGCCUGGGUCAUCCUCACAGUGCUUCCUUUCCACCCACAGAGCUGUUUAACAGCUGUGUUCACCCUGGUAGGUCUAGGUUCUCCUCUAGGGACCAAUAGCUGUGUUCACCAUGGUUGGUCUAGGCUCUUCUCUAGGAACCAAUAGCUGUAUUCACCCUGAUAGGUCUAGGCUCUCCUCUAGGGACCAAUAGCUGUGUUUUCCUUGAUAGGUCUAGGCUCUCCUCUAGGAACCAGUAGUUGUAUUCACCCUGGUUGGUCUAGGUUCUCCUCUAGGAACCAAUAGCUGUGUUCACCUUGGUAGGUCUAGGCUCUUCUCUAGGAACCAAUAGCUGUGUUCACCCUGGUAGGUCUAGGCUCUCGUCUAGGAACCAAUAGCUAUGUUCACCCUGAUAGGUCUAGGCUCUCCUCUAGGGACCAAUAGCUGUGUUCACCUUGAUAGGUUUAGGCUCUCCUCUAGGGACCAGUAGCUGUGUUCACCCUGGUUGGUCUAGGUUCUCUUCUAGGAACCAAUAGCUGUGUUCACCCUGGUAGGUCUAGGCUCUCCUCUAGGAACCCAGCAGGUUAUUUUGUUCUGGUACUUUGUAUCAAAUCUUUGUCCUUCCUUUCCACUUAUCGGGUACUGUAAAUCUUUCGUGUGUUUAAAAAUAUUUUUUUAUUAAUUCUUGGAGAAUUUCAUACAAUGUGUUUUGAUCAUUACUUUUGUCCUCCACCUAACUCCCCCAGAUUGAUCCUGCAUCCCUAUCCCCUCAACAUUAACUCGAGCCGCCCAAACAACCUGCUUUUCUUUACUCCCUUCGACAGACAUGCCUUCUACUAUUUCUUGCAUAAGCCAUUUGCAUAGAGCUUUGCAAAAAAAGGCUUAUAAACCAUUUAUGUUUGGAGAUUCAAGAAAAGGAGCACUUGACAAGGAGGGGAGGAAGCCAAAGGCAGAGACUAAUGACUUUCAGGGGUUGGCCUGCCUGGGAGGCUGAUGCUGGCUCCGAGUCUGUGGUUCAAGGCCACAGAUUAGAUGCACUGUAAUUGUUUUGUACUGAAGCACAUUUUUAGUAAAUAAUACCGGGGACCAACUCUAUUAACAUGCCCAGCUGAGAGGAAAUUAAGCGUAGUUACUUGACUGAUAACGAUGCCAAGCAGUUUCAGGUGUUAGAAUUUCAUUAAGACUGUGUGUUGUCUCUCAGAAUACAGGCUUACAUUUGUGUCAGGUGUUUCAAAUUAAUCAUGAGCAUAAUUAAUAGUUGGGAGUAAUUAGAUUACCAUUUUAUGACGAUCCCGCAGUAUCAUUGAAAACAGAGGAAGCAAGAAAAAUGAAGAGGUCCAGUCAGGUCUAGAUAAUCCAUGAUCCGUGCUCAGCGAGACUUAUCAAAACAGGUCAACUCUCAGGAUUAAUGGUUCGAUGCUUGAGUUGGCAUCUUAUUACAACAGCUAAAAAUGGAGACAGUUUAAUGGGAAGGGAGCUCCCUUAGGGAAGUUAGAUCUCCAAACACCUACACUGAAUUCUGUCUUAACAAAAGGAUUAUUUUGUAACAAUGUUUCUUCUAAAAGGCUAGGCUAUCUCUACUUAUGCUCACUAAGGACAGAGGUGCCGAGUGUGUGGGAACACAUGGCGUUCAGCUCCUUGAAGGCUUCUUGCAUCAGUCUGCAUAGCAAGCCAAGAAAAAAAGAGAGAGUUUGGCCUGCUAGAACUUUAAUGAAUUAUUGAAGAUAUUUCAUAGAGAAUAUUUUGAGACUCCUUUCUUGAACAGCUCCCGUUAACCUAAAGAGACGCUUAGUAAACUAUCUAGGAGGCUCUCAGGGAAAGGAUAUCUUCGUGGAAGUCACUUUCCAGGCAGAGUUUGCCCUGAAAUGAUUUCAAACGAUUGCAUAACGAGGACAGCAACUUGCUGGGCUACAUAUAAACCGCAUGCUACUUACUAUAUUAUGCAUGUUAGCCCAAAGGUAUAAUUAUUCAGUGAAAUGAGAACUAAGAAAAUUAGCUCUGUAUUAAUGUUUAUUUAUACCGCCGACUCUUUUUCUUUUCGUACUCAUCCUCCCGUAGCAGAGCCAACGUAAUGGCGAGCUGCAUGGCGGCUGUCUCCAGACUGAGUGUUGAGUCAGGUCAGCAGUGGCAGGUUAAUUGCCUUCACCCUUUCUUUUAGGUGGUUGCUGGAAUUCCUUUUCUUUCCUGGAGCUGGAAGGUCACACUUGUUGCUAUAGUCCUUCACCAAAGGACGGCUGCGGUGUCCCAACAGCACCUGUGGACUGCCAUGGGUCAUCUGUGGAUGCUGCCACAUGCCAUCCACACCUGCUUUUGCUCACACAUGAUCAGUCAGAAGGGCAUCAUCUCUGGCCUUGCUGUCGGGUAGUUGAAACACAUCUUUUUCCAGCCUUUUGUCCCUGGUUCCAAUAAAGGACCAUUACACUUAUCCCCUCUUGGCUGUUACUGUUUAGUUUUUAGUUACAACAGUAUUUAACAUGUAUUAGUUAAAGAUAUCUGCUUUUGACCUUGCUCCUAAGAGGAAUAGAGCAAAUCUUUCAGAAGACAUAAUGCAUCGUUCCUCACCUUAAAAACUUGCAAGGGAUUCGUAGAGUCAAAGCUGUAAUCUCCAAGUCUGCCCCAUGACCUCUGGCUGGCUGUCAUUCUCUGCCCGUUUCCUCCUACUUUUCGAGUCCCCCUUCCUGAGUGGGGGUGUCCCAGAUGAACUCUCCAGUUCCUGCUUCCGCAUCCUUCAGCUGUGCUCCUGGAGGCAGGCUAAGUCCUCGCCCACCAUGAUUUCUGAGGAGAUAUUUCCUUCUGGCAGGCUCAGCUUGGUCUAUCCAAGGACCUGCUGAUCCUAUACCAGAGUCCUAGAACUUACCCACCUGUGAAAUUUGUGCGUGUGUUCAGCAUGUACCAUUUUCUAGAAGGGUACAUAACUUACCUUUUCAUUAAAUGCUGUCCUUGUCUCUUUGGUUCAGUGAUAUUCAGCAAAUCCAACAAUACCUGGCACAUAGCUGAGCUCUAUAAUUAUAUUCUGAAUGAAUGGAUGGAUGAAUGAAUUCAUAUUCCGAAAUUCCUCAGUACAUAGCUAAAGGUGCUGUCCUUGGGUCUCCCAAAGAGCAGCCAAGUUCCACACUGUGACGGCUCAGUGACCAACAUGAGUUUCCAAUAGGCACCGAGGCCAACACAAGGGUAGGAAGAUGCCAAGUAACUCACUAACACAGUCCAGAAUUAGUUGCUUAGGGCUAGAAUUAGGCAGGGGACCACUGACAUUCUCAGCACAUUAGCCGUUCCCCGCCUGUAUUAGUCAGGGUUCUCUAUGGGAACAGAACUGCAGAUAUGAGUAUAUAAGCACUACGAGCAUUUCUCAAAUCGGCUUACAUUGAGAGAGUCACAAGAGUUGCCUCAUACCAUAGAGGUUGAGUCUAGCCUUGGCUUAGACCUUUAGUUGGGGUGCUUCAGCAACCCUAAUUUGAUAUUGAAGAACUAGAGGGUUCCUAGAGAGCCACCAGCCCUUAAUCAUGGGAGCCUGGAGACACUGAUUCUGAUACCAGUGGAGGAAUCAGAAGCAGCAGUUACAGGCGUCUUCCAACUCAGCCAUGCCAGCACAAGGCAAAUAACCUACCCUUUGUAUCUGGGCUGUUAGCAGAAGGUACCACAUACAGUUGGGAUGGGUCUUCCCAUGUCAGCUAAGGCAAACAGGAUGUGACCUUAGUUCUCUAUUGAGGUGAUUCAAAUUUGUGGCAAGUUGACAUUAAACCAAGCAACAAUACCACAUCUUUGUGGUCACCAAUCCUGUGGCAAGUGUUAUAUCUUAGCUCAGCAGGAGGAGCAACCCAGGGCAACCUGCCCAGACGGGCAUGAGCGCUGAGUGUUGAGUGUGUGGCCUGCUCUGUGUUGAAGCCCUGCUGUGUUCCUCCUGGCAAAGUUUUGUGGACUCCUAGAAGUCUCUGCCCAUUCGCACACCUGUUUCUGUAAGCUGCUCUUCCAGAGCGAUGGCAGCGUCGUGACCAGUUUAUAAAGCAUGUGCUAAAGCAGAGGGUGACUAUGAUGGGGCAGAGUGCUUGGAAAUAUGUCACAGCGGAGGAAGUUUCUGGAAGAGGUAAAUGUCAAAGAUAGAUCUGAAAGCAGCAAGUUAAGUGUGGACGCCUGACUCGCCAGCAAGGAAGAUGCCACUGCAGGAUUCUUCUGCACACGUUUAUUGGGAGAGCUUGAUAGCAAAGGCGAAAGACCCUGAGCCCCAGAACUGGCGCUGCUUAUAUAGGCCUAGGAGUGGUGUGUCUAUACCUGAUUGGUCGUGCUUUCAGUACCUCAUUUACAUACCCCCGGGAUGGGCUGUGACUUGGUGCGAAACCCUUAUGCACAUGCGCACAUUGGUUGUUUACCGGAACUUAGGGGUGGCCAGCAGUAGCCAGCGCCAUCUUGUAAUGGCGUAUGUGGCUUCCCACAGUUAAGUCUUUGCUUUGGAGAAUCUUCCUGGCCAUCCGCAAUGCUCCCUCCCCUGGAAGAGGCAGACUGAGAAGGGAGGUUUGCUACUUUGGACGAUGUUUUAGCUUUGAUGCUUGGUUGAGUGCACUCAUAGAUCCCUCCCACUUGGGUGUCUGAAGCUACACUGUCCAGGGCUGCAGUUCAGCAGGCUGGAGAAAACAAACAAAUACAACAGAACAAGAAACCUAGAAACAAACCAAACCACAGAACCUCCCCACUAGGACAGUGGCUCUCAACCAGGGAUCACAUAUCAGAUGUUUACAGUAUGAUUCACAACAGUAGCAAAAUGACAGUUAGGAAGUAGCAAUGAAAUAACUUUAUGGUUGGGGCGGUCACCAUAACAUGAGGAACUGUAUUAAAGGAUCAUAGCAUUGGGGGGGGGGGGGGGGUUGAGAAUCACUGCUCUAGAGUAUGUGGUGGUGAGCUACAAGCUAGAAUUAACAUUUUGAUAGCCAUUUACAAAAUAAGAUUUGCAUAAACUAUUUCAUCUAAUGAGCCCAAAACCUUGUCAUUUCAAUCUUUCAUCAAUACAAAAUUUACUAGUAAGAUAUUCUGCUUUGAUUUACACCUGAGCCUCAAGGUUUCAGAGUGACUCAAACUGGCAGCUCAGACUGGACUAGCCACAUUCAUGUUCUCAGUGCCUGGUGCCGUGAUGUUCAAUAGGACAGUCUUAGAUGCGUGAUGAGGAGAUGGCUUAUGUAGAAUCUGUUCUCUUGGUUUCACAGAGUUUGCUUUCAUUAAAACAUCCACAUUUAGUGUAUAAACUUCGUUAUAGUGUGUUGGAUGUUGUGACGUCAGACUAUAGACUUGAGGAAGAGUUUCAAAUGGUGACCAAAUGGCAAUGUCAUUCCCCAUUUCAGCAAUGACUCAGUGGAGGUGUGUCUGGGCGAGCAAUGAAGUUGGCAGUCAAGGCUCUGGAAAUACACAGAAAGCUGCCUCAAAAACCUUGGCUCCUGCCAGGAGAUCUCCAGGCCUGCCUCGAACUUCAUGUAACUCCGAUAGUACUUAUGCUAGCAUUAUUUCCAUUUAAAAAACCAGGUUCAGACAUUUAUGAAAGUAGCCUGCCCUCCAGGCCUAAUGGUGGGCGCUAAGCCCCCCCCCCAAUGAAUUCUGAGAAUUAUCACAUGCUUGUGGUAUGUUGUGUGAGUUGAUGAUGUCUGUUUUCAUGCAUGCUUAAGACUCCUACUUUGGUCCUUGGCAAAUCCUGGGAAAGAUGGAGAGGUAGCUAGCAAUCAGGGGUAUACAGGGAUAACAUUUUAUUUUUAAUACUUUAGUAAAAACCAGGGGUAAUAAAGUAUGUUUCUUAUACAUGUGGAAGUAGCGACCAAAAUUUUUAGUUUUGAAGCAUCCCCACACAUAUUUGCUACCCUGUACAUCAGGUGUUCUGUUUACUGCCAUCUUCAAACCCUGUGCACAUCUCCCGUGACUGCUUCCAGCUCACCACUCCCAAUUCUGAGAGACAAGUAAUUAUACACACACCAGCUAAAUGUCUAGUAAAAUCUCCAGGCAAAACUGAGUUGACUUGUGCGGAACUGAAUUUAAAAAUACUUGAUAGGAUCUCGCUGCAGACUCUGGGUCCUUGUCAGCCUGCAUUUCCUGCCUUGCCACCUCUAGCUGGUGCCAUGGCCUCCCCCCUCCCCUCCUUCCUGACUUCAGAACUCCCAAGUUCUCAGAGAUUUCAACCUAGCCGUUACCCAUUGUAUCUCUCUCUGUGACAAAAAAAGGAGAAUAAUCACUUAACUGAAGUGUUUGUUUUCUGCCUGGACUGUGGGUCACAUGACGGAAAUGCUUAUGGUCAUUUUUAUUUAGUUGGACGUAUAGACUAUGUAAUGAUAUGGACUACAUGGUGUGGUUAUUUGUGUUAUGUUUCCCAAAAGAAAUCUUGUGUUUUUGCAAGUUAGUCAUGUACUUGUGGAUGAUUUAAAUAUAUAGUUGAGAGCUCAUUGUAGUUUUACAUUUUGUAUUGUGAUCAAAUGGAGGGGCGGCGGCCUUUGAGAAGAGAAAAACAGACUUGAAUUUGAAUGUUAAAAAGUUAAAACGUAAAUGAAGACCAGAUAUGACCUUAAUACCACCCCUGCCCCCAAGUGGUCAAUGUAAUAGUGUCUAUACUUCACUGUGUUGGAGACCCUGGGUUCGGAUCAUCAUCAUCAUCACCACCACCACCACCAUCAUCAUCAUCUUUUCAACAUCGUUAUCUUCAUCAUCUUUGUCCUCGUCUUUAUCGUCAUUGUCGUUGGUACUGGGAACUGAGGACCUUUCACUCAAUAGACAAGUGCUCUACCACUGUGCUACACUCCCUGGCUCUACUGCUAAUAUUGAGAUAAUCUCCUUAGGGAAGACUAUCUCUCCUUAAGUCACCCAGCCUGAAUUUAUUCAGGAUUAUAAAAA